GUCUCGCGAGAUGCAGAUGAAUUAGGGGCGCCGGCUUUCAUGCCAAGCGGGAAGGCCGGCUCGUCGCCAAUCGUCCGAUUUCAAAAACACCUGAAUUCACUGAUCCAAAACCCCAGACAGCCAGCCCGAGCCCGCGCUCCUCCAGGGUCACAUCGAACCGCUGCCAGUACAGAUCUGUCAGUGUAACGCAACUGAUUUAUUGACAAUUUCGAAGCCAUUUAGACGCCGCCCGCUGCCUCACGCAUUAUCAUAAAAUACAGACUGGAUACCCGAUCUUUUACCUUCGCCGCGCAGGCUGUGCCCCCCUCCCCCCACCGGACACACGUGUGGGAGCGGGGCCGCCUCUUCCGGGACGCCGAAGGGAACGCCGCUUCCCGCCGCGCAUGCGCCGCGCUAGGUGUUCUGGGAGCUGUAGUUCCGCCCGGCGCUGCCGUGCGCAGGGAGGGCAGGGGCAGGGGCAGGGGCAGGGGGUGAGCAGCCGCUCCGUCACCAGGUGCACGCCCAUCGCGACCGCUCCAUGCAGGAGCGCCAGCCUAGGUCCCGGGUGGCACGUGGGAUCAGGGAGGAGUACAGACUCUGCCACCGGGGUCCGUCGGCCUCGCCCUUGCCGGUGGUGCCCUGCCACUUGGUGUCCAGGCGGGCAACAUGAUGGAGCACGUCGAGCUGAAGCCUUGCCCAGUCGGAGGAGUGGAUUUGUUCGGACUGCCUCACCAGCCUGAGGAGCUCUUCCCCACAGACGCUCGGGGAGUUUUGGGGACUCGCUGCCCUGGGCAGGUGGCCUCUGGCAAGGCUUCUCCACACAGCUGUGAGGACUUGGACAAAAGGGUCAGGAGAUCAAGCAUUGGUGGUUCAAUGCUAGACUUCCUGCCUUCUACGCAGAAGACCUGGGUUCAAUUCCCAGCCAGUGCAGCGGCUACAGGUGAAUGUUUUGCAGACCUGAACAACCUAAUGUGGUCCUCAACAAAGAUGUUUGUUGGUAGCUCUCACUGAUCUCUUGAGUUUAAAAACUAAUAAAACAGAUCCUCCAAUGCCAAGUUGGCAAAGUAGAUCAGCA